rnacentral:rRNA from 1 species
CAGCAGCCGCGGGAAUACGAAGGGGGCUAGCGUUGCUCGGAAUGACUGGGCGUAAAGGGCGCGUAGGCGGCGGCCAAAGUCAGGCGUGAAAUUCCUGGGCUCAACCUGGGGGCUGCGUUUGAUACUUGGUUGCUUGAGUGGGGAAGAGGGUCGUGGAAUUCCCAGUGUAGAGGUGAAAUUCGUAGAUAUUGGGAAGAACACCGGUGGCGAAGGCGGCGACCUGGUCCUUUACUGACGCUGAGGCGCGAAAGCGUGGGGAGCAAACAGGAUUAGAUACCCCGGUAGUCCCUGUCUCUUAUAC